rnacentral:rRNA from 1 species
GGCCGCGGGAAUUCGAUUAGAGUUUGAUCCUGGCUCAGGAUAAACGCUGGCGGCGUGCCUAACACAUGCAAGUCGAACGCUCUGCGCAAGCAGAGAGUGGCGGACGGGUGAGUAACACGUGGGGACCUACCCCCCGGUGAGGAAUACCGGCGAGAAAUCGUCGACAAGACCGCAUAGCCUCGGGCAACCGAGGAAAGCUCCGCAAGGGGCGCCGGAGGAUGGACCUGCGGCCGAUUAGCUAGUUGGUGAGGUAAGAGCUCACCAAGGCAACGAUCGGUAGCUGGUCUGAGAGGAUGAUCAGCCACACUGGGAUUGAGAACGGCCCAGACUCCUACGGGAGGCAGCAGUGAGGAAUUUUCGGCAAUGGGGGCAACCCUGACCGAGCAACGCCGCGUGCAGGAGGAAGGUCUUCGGAUCGUAAACUGCCUUUCUCGGGGACGAGAUCGGACGGUACCCGAGGAAGAAGCCCGGCUGACUACGUGCCAGCAGCCGCGGUAAUACGUAGGGGGCGAGCGUUGUCCGGAGUUACUGGGCGUANAGCGCCCGCAGGCGGUCGGUCGCGUUUGAGGUAACAGCUCCUGGCUUCACUGGGAGAGCGUCUCAAAAACGGGCUGACUUGAGGACCAGAGAGGGACCGGAAUUCCGGGUGUAGUGGUGAAAUGCGUAGAAAUCCGGAAGAACACCGAAGGCGCAGGCAGUGUCCUGGCUGGGACCUGACGCCCAGGGGCGAAAGCUAGGGGACCAAACGGGCUUAAAUACCCGGUAGUCCUACCCGGAAACCAUGACCACUAGGUUGGCGGGGAACGAACUCCCCGUGGCCCACCAAGGCAUCUAGUGGG